rnacentral:lncRNA from 1 species
AUCUCACCUUUAGGAGGGAGGAAAAGUGUAGGGCUAAAGCUGUAAUCGGCAAAGAAGCAACAAUCAUAUUAGCUGGGGGAGGAGGAUAGUUUGGUAUUUUUGUAGUUUGCACAGUGACCUUUUUAAAAAUCUGGUUAGGCAAAAAUAGUGUGAUCUUGUUUGUUGUCUCACUUCAUUAUGAUCACAGAAUGACCUGGUAUGAUGUUAGUGUUUUAUGAGAGUGUUAUGUUUUAACAGGGGAACACCGCAGUCAAUUCCUAACAACACUAAAGUGUCAGUUCUGU